rnacentral:rRNA from 1 species
GGGUUGUGAGGUUAAGCGACUAAGCGUACACGGUGGAUGCCCUGGCAGUCAGAGGCGAUGAAGGACGUGCUAAUCUGCGAUAAGCGCCGGUAAGGUGAUAUGAACCGUUAUAACCGGCGAUUUCCGAAUGGGGAAACCCAGUGUGAUUCGUCACACUAUCAUUAACUGAAUCCAUAGGUUAAUGAGGCGAACCGGGGGAACUGAAACAUCUAAGUACCCCGAGGAAAAGAAAUCAACCGAGAUUCCCCCAGUAGCGGCGAGCGAACGGGGAGGAGCCCAGAGCCUGAAUCAGCAUGUGUGUUAGUGGAAGCGUCUGGAAAGGCGCGCGAUACAGGGUGACAGCCCCGUACACAAAAGCGCAUGUGCUGUGAGCUCGAUGAGUAGGGCGGGACACGUGGUAUCCUGUCUGAAUAUGGGGGGACCAUCCUCCAAGGCUAAAUACUCCUGACUGACCGAUAGUGAACCAGUACCGUGAGGGAAAGGCGAAAAGAACCCCGGCGAGGGGAGUGAAAAAGAACCUGAAACCGUGUACGUACAAGCAGUGGGAGCACCCUUCGGGGUGUGACUGCGUACCUUUUGUAUAAUGGGUCAGCGACUUAUAUUCUGUAGCAAGGUUAACCGUAUAGGGGAGCCGGAGGGAAACCGAGUCUUAAUUGGGCGUUAAGUUGCAGGGUAUAGACCCGAAACCCGGUGAUCUAGCCAUGGGCAGGUUGAAGGUUGGGUAACACUAACUGGAGGACCGAACCGACUAAUGUUGAAAAAUUAGCGGAUGACCUGUGGCUGGGGGUGAAAGGCCAAUCAAACCGGGAGAUAGCUGGUUCUCCCCGAAAGCUAUUUAGGUAGCGCCUCGUGAAUUCAUCUCCGGGGGUAGAGCACUGUUUCGGCUAGGGGGCCAUCCCGGCUUACCAACCCGAUGCAAACUGCGAAUACCGGAGAAUGUUAUCACGGGAGACACACGGCGGGUGCUAACGUCCGUCGUGAAGAGGGAAACAACCCAGACCGCCAGCUAAGGUCCCAAAGUCAUGGUUAAGUGGGAAACGAUGUGGGAAGGCCCAGACAGCCAGGAUGUUGGCUUAGAAGCAGCCAUCAUUUAAAGAAAGCGUAAUAGCUCACUGGUCGAGUCGGCCUGCGCGGAAGAUGUAACGGGGCUAAACCAUGCACCGAAGCUGCGGCAGCGACACUGUGUGUUGUUGGGUAGGGGAGCGUUCUGUAAGCCUGUGAAGGUGUGUCGUGAGGCAUGCUGGAGGUAUCAGAAGUGCGAAUGCUGACAUAAGUAACGAUAAAGCGGGUGAAAAGCCCGCUCGCCGGAAGACCAAGGGUUCCUGUCCAACGUUAAUCGGGGCAGGGUGAGUCGACCCCUAAGGCGAGGCCGAAAGGCGUAGUCGAUGGGAAACGGGUUAAUAUUCCCGUACUUGGUGUUACUGCGAAGGGGGGACGGAGAAGGCUAUGUUGGCCGGGCGACGGUUGUCCCGGUUUAAGCGUGUAGGUGUGUGUUCCAGGUAAAUCCGGUUCACUUUAACACUGAGGCGUGACGACGAGGCACUACGGUGCUGAAGCAACAAAUGCCCUGCUUCCAGGAAAAGCCUCUAAGCAUCAGGUAACACGAAAUCGUACCCCAAACCGACACAGGUGGUCAGGUAGAGAAUACCAAGGCGCUUGAGAGAACUCGGGUGAAGGAACUAGGCAAAAUGGUGCCGUAACUUCGGGAGAAGGCACGCUGACACGUAGGUGAAGUGAUUUACUCAUGGAGCUGAAGUCAGUCGAAGAUACCAGCUGGCUGCAACUGUUUAUUAAAAACACAGCACUGUGCAAACACGAAAGUGGACGUAUACGGUGUGACGCCUGCCCGGUGCCGGAAGGUUAAUUGAUGGGGUCAGCGUAAGCGAAGCUCCUGAUCGAAGCCCCGGUAAACGGCGGCCGUAACUAUAACGGUCCUAAGGUAGCGAAAUUCCUUGUCGGGUAAGUUCCGACCUGCACGAAUGGCGUAAUGAUGGCCAGGCUGUCUCCACCCGAGACUCAGUGAAAUUGAACUCGCUGUGAAGAUGCAGUGUACCCGCGGCAAGACGGAAAGACCCCGUGAACCUUUACUAUAGCUUGACACUGAACAUUGAGCCUUGAUGUGUAGGAUAGGUGGGAGGCUUUGAAGUGUGGACGCCAGUCUGCAUGGAGCCGACCUUGAAAUACCACCCUUUAAUGUUUGAUGUUCUAACGUGGACCCGUAAUCCGGGUUGCGGACAGUGUCUGGUGGGUAGUUUGACUGGGGCGGUCUCCUCCUAAAGAGUAACGGAGGAGCACGAAGGUUGGCUAAUCCUGGUCGGACAUCAGGAGGUUAGUGCAAUGGCAUAAGCCAGCUUGACUGCGAGCGUGACGGCGCGAGCAGGUGCGAAAGCAGGUCAUAGUGAUCCGGUGGUUCUGAAUGGAAGGGCCAUCGCUCAACGGAUAAAAGGUACUCCGGGGAUAACAGGCUGAUACCGCCCAAGAGUUCAUAUCGACGGCGGUGUUUGGCACCUCGAUGUCGGCUCAUCACAUCCUGGGGCUGAAGUAGGUCCCAAGGGUAUGGCUGUUCGCCAUUUAAAGUGGUACGCGAGCUGGGUUUAGAACGUCGUGAGACAGUUCGGUCCCUAUCUGCCGUGGGCGCUGGAGAACUGAGGGGGGCUGCUCCUAGUACGAGAGGACCGGAGUGGACGCAUCACUGGUGUUCGGGUUGUCAUGCCAAUGGCACUGCCCGGUAGCUAAAUGCGGAAGAGAUAAGUGCUGAAAGCAUCUAAGCACGAAACUUGCCCCGAGAUGAGUUCUCCCUGAGACUUAGAGUCUCCUGAAGGAACGUUGAAGACGACGACGUUGAUAGGCCGGGUGUGUAAGCGCAGCGAUGCGUUGAGCUAACCGGUACUAAUGAACCGUGAGGCUUAACCUUACAACGCCGAAG